rnacentral:rRNA from 1 species
GAUGAACGCUGGCUACAGGCUUAACACAUGCAAGUCGAGGGGAAACGACGGGGAAGCUUGCUUCCCCGGGCGUCGACCGGCGCACGGGUGAGUAACGCGUAUCCAACCUGCCUCUGACUGAGGGAUAACCCGUCGAAAGUCGGCCUAAUACCCCAUGGUAUCGUCUGCGGGCAUCCAACGACGAUUAAAGAUUUCAUCGGUCAGGGAUGGGGAUGCGUCUGAUUAGCUUGUUGGCGGGGUAACGGCCCACCAAGGCUACGAUCAGUAGGGGUUCUGAGAGGAAGGUCCCCCACAUUGGAACUGAGGCACGGUCCAAACGCCUACGGGAGGCAGCAGUGAGGAAUAUUGGUCGAUGGGCGAGAGCCUGAACCAGCCAAGUAGCGUGCAGGAAGACGGCCCUAUGGGUUGUAAACUGCUUUUAGGCGGGGAUAAAGUGAGGGACGUGUCCCUCAUUGCAGGUACCGCAUGAAUAAGGACCGGCUAAUUCCGUG